GGCCUGGUGGUUUAAUGGUAGCACAUCCUCUUUCAGUACCCAAUCUUUCUUGUGGUUUCCAGAGGACGUUCCUCGUUCGAUUCGGGGUCAGGCCA